rnacentral:rRNA from 1 species
AACGAACGCUGGCGGCAUGCCUAACACAUGCAAGUCGAACGAGACCUUCGGGUCUAGUGGCGCACGGGUGCGUAACGCGUGGGAACCUGCCCUUAUGUUCGGAAUAACUCCCCGAAAGGGGUGCUAAUACCGGAUAAUGUCUUCGGACCAAAGAUUUAUCGCCUUUGGAUGGGCCCGCGUUGGAUUAGCUAGUUGGUAGGGUAAAAGCCUACCAAGGCGACGAUCCAUAGCUGGUCUGAGAGGAUGAUAAGCCAUACUGGGACUGAGACACGGCCCAGACUCCUACGGGAGGCAGCAGUGGGGAAUAUUGGACAAUGAGCGAAAGCCUGAUCCAGCAAUGCCGCGUGAGUGAUGAAGGCCUUAGGGUUGUAAAGCUCUUUUAGCCGGGAUGAUAAUGACAGUACCGUGAGAAUAAGCUCCGGCUAACUCCGUG